CACCGCUUGACAGCCAGUCUGCACAAACAAGCCGAGGGCAUUUUUAAUAACCCCUCGGCUGCCGGGACCCGGGGCGGGGGCUGGGGCACAGCCGAAAGCGCGCCCGGAGUCGCUCCCGGCGCUGACGGGGGGCUCGGCGGAGAUCCGGCUUCGGCCCCAAAGAGGAUCCUUCGUCUGCCGUGAACUGGAAUACCAGGCAUGACAGCAAUGUGAAUUUUCUUCUGCUCUUUCAACCUCUCCCUCAACCAAGGACUUGAAGAGUAAGGAUAUCUGAGUUUUAUAUCCUCCUGCAAAAUGACACCGCUGGCAAGGAUCCCUAGAGGUGUUGCAUACAGUGUGGGAGAUUGGACAGGUUCUAAGAGAAGAGAGAACCAAGAUACAUGAGAUCUGUGAAACAGCAAGAGGGUCAUGUGGGACUGGACUGCUUAGUCGGAAGGGCCAUGUCCCACACAACUUGACUCAGCUGUGGCAUUUAGAACAUGACCGA